UUGGCAGCAGAUAUAUUUAAAAAAAUUGCAAAGAUAUAAAGAAGAUUAGCAUGUCCCCUGCUGUAGGAUGACUUGCAAAUUCGUGAAAUAUUGAGUGUCCUG